CCCACCUUCCCUCAGCCCCUUUGGCAUCGCACCAGCAAGAGGAGUAGCCUCUCUUCACGCAAACAAAUCAUAAUUUCGAAAUCCAAAAAAAACUAACUUCAUUCAUCAUACCCUCCUUUAUAUAGAAGGAAAGGUUGGCAAAGGAUAAGGAUAAGGACUACACAGAAUUUUAAAUUUGACUCCUAAUUACAUGUGGACUCAAUUCAAAAUUUAAAUUUUCUAAUUGACCAAUCAAAG
rnacentral:lncRNA from 1 species